rnacentral:rRNA from 1 species
CCUACGGGGGGCAGCAGUGAAGAAUAUUGGUCAAUGGUCGGGAGACUGAACCAGCCAAGCCGCGUGAGGGAUGAAGGUACAGAGUAUCGUAAACCUCUUUUGUCAGGGAACAAAGGCGGGGACGCGUCCCCGGAUGAGUGUACCUGAAGAAAAAGCAUCGGCUAACUCCGUGCCAGCAGCCGCGGUAAUACGGAGGAUGCGAGCGUUAUCCGGAUUGAUUGGGUUGAAAGGGUGCGCAGGCGGACUGUUAAGUCAGCGGUCAAAGCCCGGGGCUCAACCCCGGCCCGCCGUUGAAACUGGCAGUCUCGAGUUGGCGAGAAGUAUGCGGAAUGCGCGGUGUAGCGGUGAAAUGCAUAGAUAUCGCGCAGAACUCCGAUUGCGAAGGCAGCAUGCCGGCUCCACACUGACGCUGAGGCACGAAAGCGUGGGUAUCGAACAGGAUUAGAUACCCUGGUAGUC